AUGUGUCUUUUUUUUGUAGUGCUACCUCUGAAGAUCAGGAUCUUUCUGUGGCAAUGGAUUCGUGGACGCCUCCCCUCCGGGGUUGAAGUCCUCAAGCAUAACGGCCCGGGCAAUGGGAGGUGUCCCAUCUGUGGCACGAUCGAGGAUGCUAACCACAUCUUCUUCUCGUGCUCUAUUGCCUAGUUCCUGUGGGCUUGCUUCCGCGAAACGGUCGGUGGACAGUGGUGCAAUACCAACUUCCCCGACUUACAUGCGGAACUCAACGCUUCCCCUACUCGCUACCGCCAUAUUAGAUGGCUGUGCGUUGGGGUCCUCGCCUGGACGCUUUGGAACAUUCGCAAUAAGCUUGUCAUUCAGAAGGUGCCUCUUCGACGUGCGACUGAUGCUAUCUUCAAAAUGUGUGGUUACUUGCAGCUUUGGCGGCCGCUUAGCCGCCCCCAGGAUCGGGACGUCAUCACCACCCUCCUCACCGGCCUUCGCUCGAUGGCUCUCCGCAUGCCCCCCCGCCCCUGCGGUCGCCCCCUCCGCCAGAGCCAGACUAGGCCGUCUGGUAGCUUUGUGGUGUGUGUGUUUUUGUGUUUAGGGCUUGUUGUGUUGUGCCCUCAGCAUUGA
rnacentral:rRNA from 1 species